rnacentral:rRNA from 1 species
UACGUAGGGAGCAAGCGUUGUCCGGAAUCAUUGGGCGUAAAGAGCGUGUAGGCGGCCCGGUAAGUCCGCUGUGAAAGUCCAGGGCUCAACCCUGGGAUGCCGGUGGAUACUGUCGGGCUCGAGUCCGGAAGAGGAGUGUGGAAUUCCUGGUGUAGCGGUGGAAUGCGCAGAUAUCAGGAGGAACACCAAUGGCGAAGGCAGCUCUCUGGUACGUGACUGACGCUGAGACGCGAAAGCGUGGGGAGCAAACAGG